UACAGAGGUGGCAAGCGUUGUUCGGAAUUACUGGGCGUAAAGGGCGUGCAGGCGGUUUGUUAAGUGCAGGGUGAAAGCUCCCGGCUCAACUGGGAGAGGUCCUUGCAUACUGGCAAACUCGAGGGAGGCAGAGGAAAGUGGAAUUCCCGGUGUAGUGGUGAUAUGCGUAGAUAUCGGGAGGAACACCUGUGGCGAAGGCGGCUUUCUGGGCCUUACCUGACGCUGAGACGCGAAAGCGUGGGUAGCAAACAGG
rnacentral:rRNA from 1 species